rnacentral:lncRNA from 1 species
GUGGGGACGCCGCCCCGCCCCGCCAGGUACGGACUGACCACUCCCCCGGGCGCGCGCGCCGCGCCGCCGCCGCCACCGCCGCAGGGAGAGAAGACAUAAUGACCAGCUCCCCAUUCCUGGAUCCCUGGCCAUCUAAGGCUGUAUCUAUCCGUGAGCGUCUGGGUCUUGGGGACCGUCCCAAUGACUCCUAUUGCUACAACUCAGCCAAAAACAGCACUGUGCUCCAAGGGGUCACCUUUGGAGGCAUCCCCACUGUCCUGCUCCUAGAUGUUGGUUGCUUUCUGGUUUUAAUACUGGUGUUUUCCAUCAUAAGGAGAAAAUUCUGGGAUUACGGCCGCAUAGCCCUGGUAUCAGAAGCAGGCAGAGCUGGGGACCAAACCCAGGGCCUUGCACUUGCUAGGCAAGCACUCUACCACUGAGCUAAAUCCCCAACCCAGAACAUUUUUUACCUAGAAUUGAGGCCAGAUUCCGGAGACUGUCAUCUUCUUCCUCAGGGCAACAAGACUUUGAAAGUGAACUGGGAUGCUGCUCUUGGCUAUCGGCCAUCUUCCGCCUACAUGAUGACCAGAUCCUGGAGUGGUGUGGAGAAGAUGCCAUCCACUACCUGUCCUUCCAGAGACACAUCAUCUUUCUGCUGGUGGUGGUUAGCUUCUUGUCCCUGUGCGUCAUCUUGCCUGUCAACCUCUCAGGAGACUUGCUAGAUAAGGACCCUUACAGCUUCGGGAGGACAACAAUAGCAAAC